AGCAGCCGCGGUAAUUCCAGCUCCAAUAGCGUAUAUUAAAGUUGUUGCAGUUAAAAAGCUCGUAGUUGAACCUUAGGCCCGUGCGGGUGGUCCGUCCUCUGGGCGAGCACUGCGUCGUCGCGGGUCUCACCUUCUGGCGAGCGUGGAUGCCAUUCACUUGGUGUCCGCGGGAACCAGGACCUUUACCUUGAAAAAAUUAGAGUGCUCAAAGCGGGCUCGUACGCUUGAAUACAUUAGCAUGGAAUAAUGAAAUAGGACGACGGUUCUAUUUUGUUGGUUUCCGGGACAGUCGUAA
rnacentral:rRNA from 1 species